GGUGGAGUCUUUUUUGAAAUUCAAUUAGUAAAAACACAUAUUCCAGAAAAUGCAUUGAACGUUAUAUAUGACCUUACUAUUCACCAAAGCUACCUUAAUGUCAUGUUCCACGAAAUGACGUAUUCGCCCGUCACGCUUCACCAGACACCUGACCUGAGCAUGCUGGGAUUUACCAAUAACACGAUGAGCUUCUACUAUCCAGACUUUAACAGUUUUCAAAACUCUUCUUGUGCUAUUUAUUUGAAAACGAACAGCACAACUGUAAUUGGGCAAAUAUUUCGUCUUCACGAUGUUGCUCCUACUAGAAACGCAGAAUUCAGGCCAGAUACUCUUCCGUUGCAGAGGA